GGACAUAUUCAGAGAAGCGACAUGGAAACCCGAGUUGGAAACAGUCAGCUGGGGAGGAGAGGGAGCAACUUAUUUGCUGAAUCUUUCCUGCUUUGUUUCUGCCUUUGGUCAAAGUCUUACCCUCAGGACAUCCAUAUCCCAGAAGGUUUUUUUGUUUGUUUGUUUAACCUGGCCAAUUCUCUAGGAAGCAUCCAGGGAAACCCAAGCUUUAUUGGCCAUAAGCCAGACACUGUGUAGGCAUAGGGGUCUCUUUCUGUCAGUUGGCACCAAGCAAAGGGUGCUUCAGUCUGCAGUGUUGGUAUCAGCAGUGGCUAUCAGAACUCUACAACUCUCGGAAUAGCUUCUGCUACAGCUGAUCUGGCCAAGAAACCAGGCAAGUGGCCAAGGCCUGAAGAGGCAUGGCUGAAUUGAUCUAGAGUGGCAGAGCAAGUCACCUUGGAAGAUAACUUUUUUGUUCAGAGAAGAAUCACUGGAAUGGUCCUUUUAAGAUCUGUGGGAAAAUCCUUAGGAAUUUCUACAUAAACUAUUGAUGGCAGUGGUGGCCCAUCUGGAGUGGCCACUGUGAAGAUGCCAGCUGCAAUAGGGAGGGCAUGACUGGGGCUGCACAUUCCAUGGAGCCAGCGGGAGCCAGGAACAGGUGGGAACCCUCUUCCAAGUUGGUGGGGUAGGAGCCCCAUGUUCCUGAGCACAGCUGCAGCCUCCCAGCCAUAGCUGUGUACCCGGGCAUCCCUAUGCUCUCAGGAGCCUGGGAAGACCCGCUGACAGGCUCAGAAUUGCCUGCUCCUGCUGCCUGCCCUCCCCCCACUGCCAGCGCCCACUCCAAUUUUAGAGCAAAGUUGAAGCCAAGCCCAGACAUUUGUUGCAACCCAGCUGGUGUCUGUAUGCUCAGGGCGGUGCUGACACGACAGAACCCUGCUGCCACGGCCCCUUCUGGGUUUCAGGCACUAACAAGCAUGGAAGGAAGGCCAAUGAGGUGCUGAGGGCAGCUCAGAGUGGGCCUGCAAGGCACCCCUCAGCACAAACACUCUGCGUGCCUUGGACAACCUGAUUGAUGGCAGCAGGAGACAGAUAGGCUCCUGAGCAUAAAGGAGUGGGUCCCCAGCGAAGCCCCCUCCCCCCACCUCAAGCCCUGAAGCGUGGGGGCUGGCUGUCAUCCCUGAAGCCUGAGGGCCAGGCUGUCAAAUCCAGUUGGAGUCCACGGCCCUCAAUGAGAACUUACACGAUGCUUUUUUCCAGUCCUGCCCACGGCUGCCCACGGACCAAUCAGCACGCAGUUCCUCCCUUCUGAGACCAUAAAAAUCCCAGACACAGUCAGACUCACAGAGAUAACUGACUACCAGCUGUGAGAGGGAGCUACCCAAUUUGAGUCUCCUUAACCCAUCCGACCACGUGUUUGCAGAAAAAAGAGCUCUACCCACUCCGAGUCUCCUGUUUGCUGAGGGCUGCACUCCUCACGACAACCUGCCUGCAGAAAGGAGCUCUACCCACUCCGGGUCUCCUCUCUGCUGAGAGCUGGACACUCAUUGGGACGACCUGCCUACAGAUAGGUCAGGAUGACCUGCCUGCAGAUACCCACCCUGGGUCUCUUCUCCACCAAGGGCUGCGCUCAUCAGAAGGACCUGCCUGUGGAAAGAAACUACCCACUUCGGGUCUCUGAAGGGCUAUUCUAUCACUCACUGUCUCCCUUGCUUACUCUCCAGUUGUCUGCAUAUGUCAUUCUUUCUGGACAUGGGACAAAAACUUGGGACUCACUGAAUAGUGGGACUGAAAGAGCUGUAACACAAAGCAGGGCUGAAACCGCCACCCCGCCCCCCCCCCCCCACCUCCCCGUGACUGGUUACCACAUUGCAGGCAAUGAGAAAAAAAGGGCUGCUGCCCUUUAGGGGUCCCAGACCUAGGGGGUCCCCAAGCCAGGACUCUGACACCCUCUUUGGGGCUCUGCAGUUUCUGGCAUCUCCAAGCUUCUGGAUGUCACUGCAUUCCCCUUGUCCAGACAUGAGUGCCCACAGCAGAAGCUGCUUGCAGUGCAUCAGAUCCAGCCACAUGCAUGCAUGGAGCCGGCACCUUUGCCGGUGCCUGGAGCUACCUGCCCCGCCAUAGCAGCCUUCAUGCCUGGCUGUGCACAGUGGCUGGACCCUGCGCUCACUUGCACAUGCACCCCUCACCAUUCCAUUCCUGGUUUGCCCUUGGCAGGUGUCGAAUUUGGGCCCAUAACACAAGCCAAGUGCAGCCUGCCAGGCCAAGUAGAUGGAACAAGCCCAGCAGGCCUGAGCAAAACUCGGACAAAGAUGCCAACGGCCACAGAGGUUUCUGGCUAGAAAAGCAACACCUUAAGGAUCCCAAGACUAUCAUGUUAUCUGCCAAUAAAGACAGUUUUCCUUCUUUUCA
rnacentral:lncRNA from 10 species